UGAGGAAUAUUGGUCAAUGGGCGCAAGCCUGAACCAGCCAUGCCGCGUGCAGGAUGAAGCAUCUAUGGUGUGUAAACUGCUUUUGUACGGGAAGAAACCACCCCUCGUGAGGGGUAUUGACGGUACCGUAAGAAUAAGGAUCGGCUAACUCCGUGCCAGCAGCCGCGGUAAUACGGAGGAUCCAAGCGUUAUCCGGAAUCAUUGGGUUUAAAGGGUCCGUAGGCGGUUUAGUAAGUCAGUGGUGAAAGCCAUCGCUCAACGAUGGAACGGCCAUUGAUACUGCUAGACUUGAAUUAUUAGGAAGUAACUAGAAUAUGUAGUGUAGCGGUGAAAUGCUUAGAUAUUACAUGGAAUACCAAUUGCGAAGGCAGGUUACUACUAAUGGAUUGACGCUGAUGGACGAAAGCGUGGGGAGCGAACA
rnacentral:rRNA from 1 species